rnacentral:rRNA from 1 species
AACUGCUUUUGUACGGAACGAAAAGGUUUGACUUAAUACGUUGGACUCAUGACGGUACCGUAAGAAUAAGCACCGGCUAACUACGUGCCAGCAGCCGCGGUAAUACGUAGGGUGCGAGCGUUAAUCGGAAUUACUGGGCGUAAAGCGUGCGCAGGCGGUUAUGUAAGACAGAUGUGAAAUCCCCGGGCUCAACCUGGGAACUGCAUUAGUGACUGCAUAGCUGGAGUACGGCAGAGGGGGAUGGAAUUCCGCGUGUAGCAGUGAAAUGCGUAGAUAUGCGGAGGAACACCGAUGGCGAAGGCAAUCCCCUGGGCCUGUACUGACGCUCAUGCACGAAAGCGUGGGGAGCAAACAGGAUUAGAUACCCUGGUAGUCCACGCCCUAAACGAUGUCAACUGGUUGUUGGGUCUUCACUGACUC